AGAUUGAACGCUGGCGGCAUGCUUUACACAUGCAAGUCGAACGGCAGCGCGGGGCAGCCUGGCGGCGAGUGGCGAACGGGUGAGUAAUAUAUCGGAACGUACCCAAGAGUGGGGGAUAACGUAGCGAAAGUUACGCUAAUACCGCAUACGAUCUAAGGAUGAAAGCAGGGGACCGCAAGGCCUUGUGCUCCUGGAGCGGCCGAUAUCUGAUUAGCUAGUUGGUGGGGUAAAGGCCUACCAAGGCUACGAUCAGUAGCUGGUCUGAGAGGACGACCAGCCACACUGGAACUGAGACACGGUCCAGACUCCUACGGGAGGCAGCAGUGGGGAAUUUUGGACAAUGGGCGCAAGCCUGAUCCAGCAAUGCCGCGUGAGUGAAGAAGGCCUCGGUUGUAAGCUCUUUGUCUAGGAAGGAAACGGUAGGGGCGUAAUAGUACCUCCACUAAUGACGGUACCUACGAAGAAUAAAGACAACCGGCUAACUAACGUACGCCACGACACGCCGCGGUAACG
rnacentral:rRNA from 1 species